rnacentral:rRNA from 1 species
UACGUAGGUGGCAAGCGUUGUCCGGAAUUAUUGGGCGCAAAGCGCGCGCAGGCGGUCCCUUAAGUCUGAUGUGAAAGCCCACGGCUCAACCGUGGAGGGUCAUUGGAAACUGGGGGACUUGAGUGCAGAAGAGGAAAGUGGAAUUCCAUGUGUAGCGGUGAAAUGCGUAGAGAUGUGGAGGAACACCAGUGGCGAAGGCGACUUUCUGGUCUGUAACUGACGCUGAGGCGCGAAAGCGUGGGGAGCAAACAGG